CACAUGUAUGCUCAAGCCUGCUGUCGCCGCAGGGGAAUCCGGUGCGAAUCCGGAACUGUCCCGCAACGGUAUGAAGUGUCCGGCUGCCGGACAUGAAGUCCGAGGCCCUGCCGACGGUGCGCCCGGCUCG
rnacentral:ncRNA from 15 species